GCCCCUCGCGGAACCCCGGCCUGUGCGCAGUUCCCGUGCCCUAGGAGUUGGCGGCGGGGCCCAGCCGAGUGAAGCAGAGUUGCCAGCCAUCUAUGGAUCCUAACUAAAUUGGUCCUUGUAAUACUCGGUAUUAUUUGCCAAGAUAUUGAAAAACCUCUAAACAGUGAGAAGGUCUGCAUACACUGGGGAACUUCCGGUGACUGCUGGGAUGCUGGCAUUGGUCUUUUCUUUCCCUGGGGGCAAAAACUGACCUUGGAUUUUUUAUCUUUUGGGGGAAAAUAUCACACCUUUUACAAAUAA
rnacentral:lncRNA from 1 species